rnacentral:rRNA from 1 species
GGGUAGUUUGACUGGGGCGGUCUCCUCCUAAAGAGUAACGGAGGAGCACGAAGGUCAGCUAAUCCUGGUCGGACAUCAGGAGGUUAGUGCAAUGGCAUAAGCUGGCUUGACUGCGAGCGUGACGGCGCGAGCAGGUGCGAAAGCAGGUCAUAGUGAUCCGGUGGUUCUGAAUGGAAGGGCCAUCGCUCAACGGAUAAAAGGUACUCCGGGGAUAACAGGCUGAUACCGCCCAAGAGUUCAUAUCGACGGCGGUGUUUGGCACCUCGAUGUCGGCUCAUCACAUCCUGGGGCUGAAGUAGGUCCCAAGGGUAUGGCUGUUCGCCAUUUAAAGUGGUACGCGAGCUGGGUUUAGAACGUCGUGAGACAGUUCGGUCCCUAUCUGCCGUGGGCGCUGGAGAAUUGAGGGGGGCUGCUCCUAGUACGAGAGGACCGGAGUGGACGCAUCACUGGUGUUCGGGUUGUCAUGCCAAUGGCAUUG